GAUUAUUUGUUGUGGCUAACCUGCUCUUCUUCUUCGCACGUCCAUUGAUAGUAUUUAAUAUAUUUUGUACAAUUGAGUUAAAUUUUAGACUCUGCAUGUGUUAGAAGCACUUAUUUUAUUUUUGGCAAGUAUUAUAAAAGUUAUGUUGGACCUGUAAAAUUUAACUGUACGCAUAAUGGGAUUGGAUGAGGGAGUUAAACUCCCAUUUGAGUU
rnacentral:misc_RNA from 1 species